rnacentral:tRNA from 8 species
GCGGCGGUAGCUCAGUUGGUAGAGCGCGACCCUCCCACGGUCGAGGUCGCGAGUUCGAAUCUCGUCCGCCGCUCCA